CAGAGGGGCCUGUCAGAAGAGAUUUGCUUAUAUCAUGGUGCACAGGAAGCAGAGAGCAAGGAGAGAAGAGCUAAGAAGGAAGAUGUGUCCUUCCAGGUCCCAGCUCCAGUGACCUGCUUUUAUGCUUCUGUCUAGAUGUCCCCCAAGCUUCAUGUGCUCAUAGGUGGUGCUUUGAGAGGUGGCUGGUUCAGGGGGCAGAUGCUCAUCAGUGGAUUAGUCCACUGAUGAUGAGCAUAUGGCUGACUUCUGUAAGGUGUGGGGUCUGGUUGGAAGAGGGGGGUCGAAUGGAGAGUGGCUUGGAAGGGCUCAUCUCCUCCUGCUCCUUGCUUGACCUCUCCUGCUUCUGGCCACCAUGCCAUGAGCACCCUCCCUGGGAGCCCGAAGACUGUGGGCUGCAACCUCUACAAACUGUGAGCAAAAAUAAAGCUUUCCUCCCUUAAUCAAAUUCCAGGUGUUGGGUAGGGUAUUUUGUCUCAGCUAUGAGAGAAGCAAUGAAGAUUCCUUCUCUUCUGACUAGAAAUGACCUCCUAACAGCAAGUCAGGUUUAAGCUCAAUAAUCCAACCACUUCCUCAAAGCCCCACCCAUGAGAACAUGAGCUUGGGAGAUAUUUCAGACAUAACUUUAGUAAUGUAUGUUCAUUCCUUCCUGUUCCUGGUAAACAAACCCAUGGCUAUGGCUUGUGAAAGUCCUGCAGGACCUGUGAGCGAGCAGCUCUGGGCCCUCGAUGCCCUCUGCUGUGUCCCCUGACUCCCCAGAUCUGACCACUGCUCCGCAGUGCAGUCCUUGCCUGGUGAGGUCUCCUCGUCUGGGGUCUCAGGUUCAGAUUCCCCUCACACCUGAACCUCUGCCCAGUCUGUGGCUGUGCUUGGGUCUCUGCCUAGGAAGAGGUCCGGUUUGGAGGAGGAACUGGUCCUUCCCCUGGGCCCGUGAGGCUCAGCCUUACACACAGCAGGAUGAGCCCAGGUCCGGUGUCGGGAAGGCUGGAGGGUUUGGAUCCAUAUAGAUUUUACAUUUCCGUGAAGAUUUAAGAAGGGAAACAGGGAGCUGGUGUGUCCCUAUCUGCUGGAAAUCCUCAGGAUGUCCUCAGAGCUGGAGACUGAUUCUUCUAUCUAGGAUACUCAGAUCUCUGUGCUGAUAAUAUGGUGUUUCAGAACAAAGUCAUAGGUAGAUGCUUAUGGAGAAAGUCCAGGAACAAAUUCUUCCCUACCAGCAUCAGAGAAGAGAUAUUUUCAUAAUGGUUUGCUAUAUGAAGCAUUAAAAUUUGUGAAAAGCAAUCGGAAGAGCUACAAGGAGGUAAAAUCACCCUCAUGAAGACGGGCCAGCACCCUCAGGCUUAUGUUCUUGACCGUAUCUUCCGCCUCCUCUGCCCUGGAAGAAACAGCCCCUGCUCACACGAGAGUCUGCUCACAUGAGAGUCAUCGUUCUGAGGAUGGAAGAUGAUGGCCUGGGGCUGGAACCCUCAGAGCUCAGUCCCUCCCUUGCCGGCGGCUCUGGUGAUGCAGUUCGCGCUGCUGUGGUUGGAAGGUGAC